GUGGGGAAUCUUGCGCAAUGGGCGAAAGCCUGACGCAGCCAUGCCGCGUGAAUGAUGAAGGUCUUAGGAUUGUAAAAUUCUUUCACCGGGGACGAUAAUGACGGUACCCGGAGAAGAAGCUCCGGCUAACUUCGUGCCAGCAGCCGCGGUAAUACGAAGGGGGCUAGCGUUGCUCGGAAUUACUGGGCGUAAAGGGCGCGUAGGCGGACAGCUUAGUCAGAGGUGAAAGCCCAGGGCUCAACCUUGGAAUUGCAUUUGAUACUGGCUGUCUUGAGUUUGGGAGCUGUGAGUGGAACUCCGAGUGUAAAGGUGAAAUUCGUAGAUAUUCGGAAGAACACCAGUGGCGAAGGCGACUCACUGGCCCAAUACUGACGCUGAGGCGCGAAAGCGUGGGGAGCAAACAGGAUUAGAAACCCCUGUAGUCC
rnacentral:rRNA from 1 species